GCCAGCAGCCAUAUCACCCUGCAACUCACACCUGACACAUCACUGAAACUAAGAAGGUGUGAGCCUGGUCAGUACCUGGAUGGGAGACCUCCUGGGAAAAACUAAGGUUGCUGCUGGAA
ensembl:rRNA 5S_rRNA 5S ribosomal RNA